AUGGAGACAGUGCCUCUGAGCGCCGACAAAGGAAGUGCAAUCCUAGGCCCAUUUAGCCCCACGCUGGGCCAGGCAUGUAACGUGUCGGACACGCAUGCUUCUGCGCUAACAGAGAAAGGUAACUGCCGAUUUACUAGGGUGGACCAAUUCCUUUUGGCGGAUGGGUCUUGGGAUGUAGAGAGGGUGAAUGAAUACUUCAUUACGGCGGACACAAGAGAGAUCUUGAAGAUAAAAGUGUCACCAAGGAUGAUAAAUGAUUUUCCUGCAUGGCAUCCUGAGAAGGACGGCCAAUUUACAGUGCGGAGUGCUUACCACCUUGCAGUUACACACCAUAUCCAACAUCAAGGGGGAGAGGGAUCGAGUAUUUGUCCUGAUGGUGAUCGCCCGGUGUGGCGCAUGUUUUGGAAAAUUGAUGUACCUCAGAAGGUUAAGAUUUGUGCGUGGAAAUUGCUGCGGAAUGGUCUACCCACACGGCAAGUGAAAAGGCAUAGACACUUGGAGGUCAUUGAGCAGUGCCAAAGGUGUGGUUACGAAACAGAGGAUAGCUUUCAUGCGGUUGUGUCUUGCCCGAUGGCUAGGGCUGUCUGGGAUGCCAUGAGCGAGGUCUGGAAGAUCCCUACAAAGGAGUCUAUACUAAAUACUGGGCAUGAAUGGCUGUUUGAUUUACUGGUCACACUCACGGAUGUGGAGAGGAUGAGGGUCCUUAUGAUUAUAUGGAGAAAUUGGCAAGUCCGAAAUGAUAUAUUGCAUGAUAAGACGCCGGCUCCAGUUGAAGCGACACGAAUUUUCUUGCAAAGUUAUGUUUCAUCCUUGCAACAAAUCAAGUUAAAUGAUGGAAGAGAUGUGGUGAAAGGAAAGGGGCCAGCUAUAGUGGAGGAUUCCACGGAUAGGAAUUUACGUUCCAAACAUCCCAAAGAGCAUAAUCCAUGGCCUCCACCUCCAGCGGGUUGGUUGGCUGUUACCACAGAUGGAUCUUUUGGAACAUGUGAUGAUGGGGCUGGGGCGGCAAUGGUAGCAAGAGAUAACAACGAAAUGAUGGCAGUCAGAGAAGGAGUCAAAGUAGCACUGAUGCAUACCUCCUCAUCGUUUAUCAUUCAAACUGACUGUGCUGCUGUUGUUAAGGUAAUGAGGGAGACUGGGCAGAACAAGUCAUACCUAGGCCAAUUCAUACAAGAGAUUAAGGAGUUGUUGAGUGAAAGGGAGCAUGUUUUCUUAUGUAUUGAUCGUUUGCAUAAUAGGGCUGCAGAUCGGCUAGCUUAUAUGUCGAGAGCGGAGCAUCGAACCGACUUGUGGUUGCAGGAUGCCCCACAUGCUCUGAAUAACUUGCUGGCUGCUGAUUGUAAUCCUAUCAUUGUUUAA
rnacentral:rRNA from 1 species